rnacentral:rRNA from 1 species
AUUGAACGCUGGCGGCAGGCUUAACACAUGCAAGUCGAGCGAGCGGCGGACGGGUGAGUAACGUCUCGGAACGUGCCUGAUGGAGGGGGAUAACUGUUGGAAACGGCAGCUAAUACCGCAUACUAUUAGAUCUGCCCAGAUUGGAUUAGCGAGUGGGUGGGGUAAUGGCCCACCUAGGCGACGAUCCAUAGCUGGUCUGAGAGGAGGACGGGCCACGCGGGAACGGUGAAACGGUCCGGAUUCUGACGGGGGGAAGCGGUGGGGAAUAUUGCACAAUGGGCGCAAGCCUGAUGCAGCCAGGCCGCGUGUGGAAAGCGGCCCUUCGGUUUGUAAAGCACUUUCAGCGAGGAGGCGUUACUCGCAGAAGAAGCACCGGCUAACUCCGUGCCAGCAGCCGCGGUAAUUC